AAAGAAAAGAAGGAAGGAAGGAGAAGGAGGAAGAAGAAGAGGAGGAGGAAUAGAGGAAGAAAGAAGAAGAAGAAGAAGAAGAAGAAGAAGAAGAAGAAGAAGAAGAAGAAGAAGAAAAAGGAAGAAACCACCACAAAUCCCCCAAACCUGUUAAGUGGAAAAUAUUCCAAGAUCAACACAUUUUAAUUCACUAAUUAAUACAGCUAAAAGGCAUUUUUCAUAUUAGACUUAUUAAAAUCACUUGUAUUUAAGUGUUUUUGAGCCCACAUUUUCCGAUGCUGGGUGUUUUUCUAAAGUGUUCUAGUCAUGUUAUGCAAAUGCCUAUUUAAAUUACCAGGGGUAUUUGUUUUCUAUUUCUACUCUGUAAAACAUAAUUUUAAUACAAGUUAUUUGUGAAAUGCACAUUGGAAAAAAGAAAAUAAGAUUUGAGAUGGCAUUUCUAUGAUAAUUUUAUUGCAAAUGUUGACCAUGUUUUUGUAUUUGUCGGCAAAAGGUAAUGUGAAGUAUACAUAAGACAUAUUUCUGGGAUUUAUUGUUGUAUGUGAACUAAAUUAGUAAAACAGAACUUGCUUCAUUUUUUUUUUUUGAACCCGAGGCAGGGCAGUCCAUCAGCCAAGAAGCAUGUUUUCAAGGGUGUAGUGACGGCCGCUCAGCAGUCUCGGAGCCUGGAGCCAUCACAGAGAUUUUUGCACCCCGUGCACUUGAGCAAGAUCUCUGACACCUGCGUACUGUCUGACAUGACGUUCAAGGCAGAAACACGGGCCUUUGCAGACGGGCCACUGCAUCUGCUGCUUCCUCCCCGGAAGGCUUCCUCCUAGGCUUCCCACAGCCGAUUCGCACAUUCAGGUCUUUAUGCCUGCUAAGAGGUUGGCCUGGUUGAAUUACACACGGAAUCCACACCAUCCUGGACCUGCUCUGUCUUCUCUCUUGCACUUUUCAUGGACUUUGGUGACAAUGUCUUCUUGCUCAUGAUGCAUCUCACACCUGCCCAAACCCAAAGGAGGUCUCAGAACCACCGAGCUUGUCUGUUCUGGACAGUGCAGUGUCACCAGUGCUGAACACGAGAAAAGCAUCUCCUGAGUUUGCUGAGUGACUACUUCGGGGGACCCUCUGGCAGAACUGGGUGAACAAGGAACACUCUGACUUUAUCUGCAGGCCCUGAGGCCUGGAGACCUUCUGGAAUGUUCCCCUGGUUGGAGUGGGAGGGAAUGGAUCAGCUGCCAUCCUCUGGUCCCAGCGGCAGGAAGGCCAGCCAUGUUCUGGGUUUGGAUUUUUUUUUUUCUUAAUUGGUUUGAUAUGAUCAUGAAAAGCAUCUGAAAAUUGGACAUCUGGAAAUGUUUCCCUCCUAUUUAUUACUUAAAACAGCCCUGGAGUUUAGAGUUGUUCUUAAAAUUAGAUUCUCCUCACUAAAAGAAAUAGGGAGCAAAAAUUACCAUGAACCAAUCCACAGUCACUUAUUUUCAAGGAGACCCUACAAGGUCAUGGCCAGGCCCUGGUCUAUACAAGUCAGAGGCUCCACACCCCUCGGUCUAGACAAAGCCUGGAAUCAUCCAGAACUAGGGCUGGCCUGCAUGCAGUCACAGAAUCAGGAGGGGGAAGAUAAAUUAAGAUGAGUGUAUCACGCAGCUACGCAUUAACCACGACAGUGAAAAAGGACGGCGAAUGUUCAAAUGGCCUAGACUGAAAUAUACUGAGGUUAAAAUACAGGGUAACUUUACAAAUCACUAAUAAUUUCUGUGGCUUUCACUGCAAUAACAUUGAUUUAAUUCAUUAGAUUCCUUUCGAAAUCUAUAUUUCAGUUUUAGAGUUGUCAGAUUCUGUUAAUGACAAUUUUGCCCCAUCUGUUCCAACAUGAAAAUGAGGCUCCUCGCAGCCGACAAGACGGAUCUCCAAGAGUCGAGGAGGAAGAAGUCUUAAAGGUAUUUCACUUGGAUUGGUCCUCACUGGUGAUUCACACCCUCAGUGAAGCUGCCCACAAAACAACUUUCCAUAGAUGCCCACCGAAAGGCCUCCCCCUCCCCCUCCACAGCCUCCCUCUGCUCUGCAGCCCUUCAGCUAUCCGCUAAUCCUCGGGACCCACUGUGUCAUCCUCAUGUCAUAUUGGGGGAUAUUCAAAGCAUUCCCACCCGUUCUUUUAUUUUUUUUAAUGACAGAGCAAUAAUUCUGGGUGUCAGCGUAUCAGAGUCCCAGCGGCUGUGAUCAGAAUGAAAAUGGCUUGCUGUAAUUUGGCCGUUCAAACCAUCCUAUUACAGUAAGUCAUUUCUGUGUGCCCAGCGAGCUUCUGUUGGCCUGCCGAGGGCAGUAUCUGGGUUCCCAGCUCUGAAGAAACGUGAUGACACCCUCCAGCCUGCCAGCCCACACAUCUGCCAGUUUGCUGUGGGAGAUGGCUUUGAAUGAGUGGGUGAGGAAUGCAUGUAGAUCUAGGUACCACAUGGUGGCUUUGAAGGCUCUGUCUGUGCUGGGCAUGGCCUCCUGUCUUUAAGAGCACACACAUUUCCUGCAGAGGAGCCUAGGCCCUGGCCUAUGCAGAUGUGGGGGAGGCAAUUCUUGAGCCUUCAUUGGUAUCACGCAUGACUGGGGAUGACCUUCUCCUAAUUGCCAUCGUGGAAAAAUAAACCCACUGUUAAAAGAAGACACAGUGUGGAGUACAUGACCCAUGGAACCUUCUAGAAAAAUAGGCAGGCAUUAAAACAUAUAUGGAAUUAGGCUGAUCCUCAAAGUUAAUAUUCACCAUAUGUAUUUAUAUUCAACACAACUCCAGCAAAAUUGAGUGCUGCAUUACUGCUCCGACAAAGGGGAGAUUGCCUCUCACGCGGCUGACAUUAAGUUGAGUUACUGUUGUACUGUAGACUUCCCCAGAAAGUCUGAAGACAGUUGAGAAAAUUAGGCCGAAAAAUCCUCCUUGUGGAUCUGCCGCUUAAUUUCCAAUACAAAUUAGGGAAACUUUAACGUUUCCCUUGUCCUACCUUGAGCAAAUUAAAAAUCAACAAAAAUAUUAAGGUUCUAUGUUACCUGUUCAAGUGUACAGAAUGUAUAAAAACUUUAAUCAAACACUCAGGUUUGCUCAGUUUUAAAUUGUGUUAGUUUAAUAGUUUCUUUUCGCUGUUUAUAUUAAUGACGUACUCCCUUCUAAAUACACUGCCAGCUGGGAAGCCAUCAUACGUCCAGGGUUGAAUGAAUGCACUUCUGUUCACGGUUCCUUAAUAAAAAGAUCUUUCUAUUAAA